UGUUAAAGAUUAAGCCAUGCAUGUGUAAGUAUAAAGACUAAGUAAGAUGAAACUGCGGACGGCUCAUUACAACAGUUAUAGUUUCUUUGGUUAGUGCAAUAAGGAUAACUCUGUUAAUUGUAGAGCUAAUACUCGAGACAAUCCCUAAUCAAAUUGAUUAGGGCGAUCACACUUUGUGUGAAACAAACCAAUCCUUAACUGAAUAAGGGAAAGGGGACAAUUGUAGAAGGCCAGGAAUUUAACAAGGAACCAAUGAGAAUAUCUGACCUAUCAACUAGAUGGUAAGGUAGUGGCUUACCAUGGUGAUAACGGGUAACGAGAAAUAAGGGUUUGAAAUCGGAGAGGGAGCAUUCAAAAUGGCUACCACUUCUAAGGAAGGCAGCAGGCGCGAAAAUUACCCACUUCAAACGAUGAGAGGUAGUGACGACAAAUAACUAAAACCAGCACACAGUGUUGAGUUUUGGGGAUGAGCCAGAAGCAAAGACUCUGGCGAACGCGAUUGGAGGGCAAGUCUGGUGCCAGCAGCCGCGGUAAUUCCAGCUCCAAUAGUGUAUAUUAAAGUUGUUGUGAUUAAAAAGCUCGUAGUUGAAAGGAACAUAGAAGGACUCGAGGAAGCAAAGCAUUCGUGCAGCGCUACACUGGAGUCAUAACGCUAAAACACUCACCAUUGCUAUUCGUAGUAAUGGGAGAGAUAUUUACUUUGACAAAAUAUGAGUGUUUAAAGCAAAGCAUAAGCUAAUGGAAUAUGAAGCAUGGGAUAAUACGGAGGGGAUUCAUUCGCCAAAGUCGUUUCGAUGACAGAGGCAAGGAAUACCGAGAGAAGGAAUAAUAGAAAGAGAUGGGGUGAUUUAUACGGAAAUGGGAGAGGUGGAAAUCCAUGAUCAUUUCAGGAUAAACAAGAGCGAAAGCAUUUCACUUAAAUCUAUUCAUUAAUCAAGAACGAAAGUUAGGGGAUCGAAGACGAUUAGAUACCGUCGUAGUCCUAACUAUAAACGAUGUCAACGGAGGAUUGGAAAGAAAGACGACAAGUGCUUAUAGUGACUCGUCACUGGGCAGAAUUGUCAACGGACUCAGUUCAGCAUUCAGCGGGAAACCGAGAGUUAAUGGACUUCAGGGGGAGUAUCGUCGCAAGGCAGAAACUUAAAGGAAUUGACGGAAGGGCACACCAGGGGUGGAGCUUGCGGCUUAAUUUGACUCAACACGGGAAAACUUACCAAGACCAAACAUCUCGAGGAAUGACAGAUUAAGGGAACUUUCAUGAUAAGAUGAGGAGUGGUGCAUGGCCGUUCUUAGUUGGUGGAGUGAUUUGUCAGGUUAAUUCCGAUAACGAACGAGACUUUAAUCUCUAAUUGGAUGUGCUAGCGUAAGAUAGCACAGUUGUUUACAACCUCUUUACGAAGAGUCAACUUAGAGAGACAUAUCAACAAUUUUCCAGGACAACCCAAGGGUUGAAUGGAAGAAGGGAUAGGAAGGAAAGCAAUAACAGGUCUGUGAUGCCCUUAGACAUCUUGGGCUGCACGCGUGCUACAAUAGUAAUCAUAAAGAGUACAAUAGGCCAAGUGAUAGGUCAAUCCAUCCUCACGGAGGAAUGAACACUAAACAGGCCAACCAACACCGAGAGGUAGAGGGAAACUCGAAAGGAUACUGUAACAGGGAUUAAUGAUUGGAAUUAUUCAUUAUGAACGAGGAAUCCCUUGUAAAAUUUCGUCACUAACGAAAGUUGAAUACGUCCCUGCCCUUUGUACACACCGCCCGUCGCUCCUACCGAUUGAAUGAAAAGGUGAAGGUUUAGGAGGAAGUAACACAGUUACACCAAAUGGAUCUAAAUCUCUUCAUUUAGAGG
rnacentral:rRNA from 1 species